GAGAGAAGUGUGUGUGAGAAGCUGGGAGUAAGAGGCACAAGGAGCUGAGACUGAGAGGUUGGACUUUUGUUACCCUGGAAGGAGUCUGAAUUUAAAAGAUGACCUGUCUGGAGGGUUAGGCCAAAGAAGACAUAGACAGACAGACAGAAGCAAUCCAUUACAGGGCCAAAGAAGUGGUCAACAGGGAGUACUGGAGACAAAGGCCCCUGCAAUGCCACACUCCGAUGACAGGGCAGAUGACUUUGCAAUCACAAACCUCUAAUUAUUAAGACAGCUGGGAUAUGUGCAGGAGCUGAACGAAUGGAGCUGAAGCCAGCAAUAACAUUUUUCUGCUCUCAGAGAGAGUGUGAUUCUUCUCAAGGAAGAAGCUGUCUGCAACCACUGGAUUCCACAGUCCUCAAAGUUUAAUGAGUCCCUACUGUACUGCGAAACAAUUCCAGACAUAUAUAUGUGA